UACGGAGGGGGCUAGCGUUGUUCGGAAUUACUGGGCGUAAAGCGCACGUAGGCGGCUUUGUAAGUUAGAGGUGAAAGCCUGGUGCUCAACACCAGAACUGCCUUUAAGACUGCAUCGCUUGAAUCAUGGAGAGGCGGGUGAAAUUCCGAGUGUAGAGGUGAAAUUCGUAGAUAUUCGGAAGAACACCAGUGGCGAAGGCGGCCCGCUGGACAUGUAUUGACGCUGAGGUGCGAAAGCGUGGGGAGCAAACAGG
rnacentral:rRNA from 1 species